rnacentral:lncRNA from 1 species
UUUUUUUUUUUUUUUUUUUUUUUUUGUGAGUGCAAAACCUAUGGCAUUCUUGAUUCAUGUUUUUUAUUGGUUCAAGAUCCUUCUUAGAACCAACCGAGUUUCUUGGGGCUACAUAUGGGAUUGGAGUUCUGUCAACAUCAACGUGAGCAAUGGGCCAUAUUCUUGAUGUAGCAGUAAUGUUAAGUGGUAACGCGGUGUACUGUAUACAUGAAGAUUCUUUCUUCUUGCUGUUCUUUCUUUCCUUCAUUUCUUACUAAGAACUAUUUCUAUCUUAAAAGGACAUAAGGGACCAAGAACAAUAUAUAUACAAACAAACUAAUCUAGAUUCUAGUGUAGAGAAAGAGAGAGUUUUGAAGUUGAAGUUGAAAGCAGAGAAGAAGAAGUGGUCAACAAUGGGACCUCACUAAGCUCUCUCACUCAAUAUAUACUUCCAUAUGACCAAAGACUUAGUCUUCUUUUCUUUGUAGAAAACCUACUCGUUUUCUUUAGUCAAACUUCACAUACUCAGAUACUCUUCCCCUUUAUAACCCUCUUCAUUUCAAACAUUUUUUUUAUCAUUCAAACUCAAAAGGUUUUCUCUUAAAUGCAUAACUAAACUCCAUAUCUUUCUACUUCUUCAGGUUUCAUUACUUGCUUCAACCUUCAUCAUCUGUUUCUCUCUUUGGACUAUUUUGAGUGACAAACUAGUGCUACUACACCUUUUCUGAUUAAGUGACCUGCCCUUUUGCGUGAAUUUUGUUCUCUUCCUUGCAAAUGCCAAAUUCGUUUUCCAGGCAAGAAUUAUUUAGAUUGUCACCACUACAAUCUUUUCCAAUCAUCUUUUUGUGAUUUAACUAUUUAUAUCAAUGGAGAACUGUAAAGAUUAUGAGCAAAAGCCAUUGAUCAAUGAGCUUACUCAGGCAAAAGAGUUAGUGAAUCAGUUAAGGUUUCAUCUUAGCCCCACUUCCUCAACUGGAGAAAUACUGAUACAGCAGAUUCUUUCUUCUUAUGACAAGGCUCUUUUGAUGCUCAAUUGGAAUAGAUCAGAGAUUGAAACUCAUGUUCCAAUUUCACCAAGUGUUGGCAUGAUAGAGUCACCACAGUCUGGGAGCCCGCGAAGCGAAGAUUCAGAGAUAAGAGAUAUAUAUAAGAAGAGGUACAUUUUAAAUCAUGAAUAACUUCUUUUUUUUUGUUAUGCUUCGAUGAUUUUGUGUAUCAACCAACUUACCUUUCCAAAAAAAACUCUGUAAUUGUUCAGGAAAACAAUGCCUCGAUGGACAGAACAAGUGCGAGUUAGCUCAGGAACAGGGUCCGAAGGUCCACAAGAAGAUGGUCACAGUUGGAGGAAGUAUGGACAGAAAGACAUCCUUGGAGCCAAGUAUCCCAGGUAAAAAAUCUGUCCAGAUUUAUUCUUCAACAACAAUAGACUCACCAUGUGUACGUCGUUUCACGGUUUCGGUGUUUUUUUACCUAUAUAAAGGCACACCUGUUCUACUUCAAAGUCACAAAUUCCCUUUUUCAUCCAUAUCAAAAAGCACCUUUUUAACUCAAAAUCGUCAUCUUAAUCAUUGGCCAACACAACCCAUGAAAAUAUACACACAGCCACACAUACAGAAGUACAAAUGUACAGUUCACAUGGUGAGAUUCAAUACUAUGAGUCAGCUUUCAAAACAUACUGCUAAGCUGUAGACAAAAAAUAAAUUAAACUUAGUCUUCGUUUUCUACCUAUGUAUUUGGGUUGUAGUAUUAAUAAUAGAUUGUCAGCGGACAAAAAAUAUAUAGAUGAAAAUUUGUAUACUAAUUAGUGGUACUUACACUUGCAGAGGCUACUAUCGAUGUACUCACCGUCAUGUUCAAGGGUGUUUGGCUACAAAGCAAGUUCAGAGAUCUGACGAAGACCCAUUAGUGUUUGAUGUCACUUAUAGAGGAAAACAUACCUGUAAUCCAUCCUCUCUACUUCAGGCAUCACAGGCAUUUAGUAAAGGAGACCAAACACACAAUCAAGAUCAACUGCUAGAACAAAGAAAGCGGAAACAACCAGAAGAGAUGCUACAAAACUUCCGGGCUGGACUUACAGUAAAAACAGAAAAUCCAGACACCAGAGAACUGACAUCUUCACCAUUUUCAUUCCCUUCAAUGAUGUCUACUGAAUGCAUCAAGUCAGAAAACAACAUCUUCUCACCACUUUCACUUGAAAAUAGUUACAUGGGCUGUUAUUCUCCUUUUAUUUCCCCAGCCACAUCCGAAUCCAACUACUUCUCGCCAUGCCACAUUAACAACAUUGCACGUAAACAACCUUUCCGAACUUCGGAAUCUGAUCUCAAUGAGAUAAUAUCAGCUGCCACUUCAGCCUCAAAUUCCCUAGUCAUGGACAUAGAAUUUAAUCUAGAUUCAUUGGAAUUCGACUCAAAUUUCCCAUUUGAUAAUCCCAGUUUCUUCAGUUAGUUUUUACAUAUUUAAAAAGCAGAAAAAAGAAAAGAAAAUUUGGGUGUUCAUUCCUUGAAUACCAACUGCUUCUUUGCAUCUUAGUGAGCCUAGUGAGUGUUUACAACUUUCAAAUAAUGAGAGCACCUCUAACAUUAGCCAAAGAGAAUUUCAAUUUAGGAGUAAGACUGUAAUCAGUUCUUAUCUGUAGCUGCAAUUGCAAUUUUUUUUUGUUUUUAUUUUUGGAGAUAUGUAUAAAAGUAGAUUUGAUCAUAAAUAAUAAAUGGUCAGUGAGGGUCGAAAUUGCUCUAUAAUUUCAUUAGUAGAAAGCGUUUCAUUUUCGUGACUAAUAUUUAUUAAGCAAGGCUCAACAAAGAGGAUCCCUAGGAGGAUAAACUACAAGAGACUAACCAAAAGAGUAACUUCUUACAACAACAAUUUGAUAAAAGCACAUCUAGUAGAAAUAUACAGUCGAAACAAUUUCAGUACAAAAUUCAACAUUUCAUGACUUCAUCACAAAAGGGGAAACCAAAUGAAAAACAGGGAAAAAAAAGUUUACAUUGAAUUAACAGCAAUAUGUACCUGAAUUACGUAGUAUCAGGAUAAGGUGAUAAAGCAAAAUAUGAUUUUCUUUUAGAAGUAUUUCUAGUAAUUAAACAGAAGACUUGUUAUCUUGUUUGGUCUCUGAACCAACUUCUGUUUUGCUUUCAUUGGCAACCUUAGCUUUCCUCAGAGCUUCCCGUAGUCCCAUCACAAUGAACAAGUUGGUAAGAGUAAGAAGCGACUCCGCUCCACCAUGUAGCCAAUCGACAUUAGACAAAGAAGUUCCAUAAUGCACCUUUGCUAUUCCAACCACCAAAAUAAGAAGGAAAAAUUAGACACAAGAAAAUGGAUAUCUACAAACUCCCAAUGAUUUUUUCACUCUCUCUAGCUAGUUCAGAGAAAACAUACCGUAUAUUCCCGCCGGGACUAGAGGAGACCGCAAAAAAACAAAGAUGAAAGGAAUCAGUUAAGAUAAAAGGAUGACAAAAACCACAAUAUAGUAUUUUUCUAAAACAAAGUGCCCAGAGAAGUUUAUCAUUUAAUCACACAAUACAGCGAGAGGGAAGACGGAAGACCUGCUUAGAAUUUAAGAUAUGUUCAGGGUAUGUGUUAGUGGUCGAUUAUUUCAGUGUGGUCAGUUAUGUAUUUUCAAUUUACCUAGCUUAAUGGGAUUUAAAUAUUUAUCAAAGACACAUUCUAUUGUCUCAAUACUAUCUUUAUCACUCAGGUUGAUCGAGUGCUGACAGAGAGGUCUCCUGGAAAAUUGAUAUAGAACUGCUGACAUAGCUGGUAUCUACUCUCUAUUGUUCGUUGCGAGUAUUGGUCAUCAAAUCUGUCACUAUAGCAUAAGAACCUAUUCAGCAACCCGCUAUAUCCUGAUUCAAUGAUCACGACAAUCAUUGGAGCAUGCUGAGAUGUAACCGAAAAUUUGAUAUCUCAUUGAAUGGGGCUGUCAGAAACUCAGAAUUAUCGAUGGAUGCCAGUUUUAGGGAAUAAUGAAUUGAUGUCAGGAACGCUAAUAGUGAUGAACUUUUAUUGAAGAACCUAUAUUAAGCAAGUCUACAAUGUGUUGCAUACAAUCUGAAACGGUGAAGUCUACAUACCUACAAAGACUUAGUGUGCAAUUGUAGUGUAUAUCACAAAUAUUACAAUAAAAACUUUGUGUAACUCCAUUGCAUAAUCUGGAAAGAGUAACACUUGAUAAAUGAAAAUAUAUUACAUAUUGGAAAUGUGUGAUAUUUGUUGUAGAUGAAUCUUGUCCAUCAAUACCACUCGAAACAUUUUAAUUAUUGCUUCCAAAAAAUCAAUUAGUAUGUCAUAAUGUGCUUGCGUGUUUUGUUAAGUUUAAUCAUUCCUUCAUUGCAUAAACAAUCUAAUAAACAGUUAAACUUCUUAUCUCUGAAGCCAUUUCACUAAAAAAAAAAAAAAUUACUAGAGCAGAACUGGAGAUAAUUUGGGUUUUUUUAUUAAUCCAAGUGGGCAAUUCCAUUUAUGUUAAUUAAGUGUUUUCCACUACUCAUUAAAAAUCAAAUUAACAACAAAACCAAGAACAAAUGGUUGAGGGAGAGAAACUUACUUGUUGCACCCACAAAGGCAAGUAAGAAAUAGAAUCCAAAGAGGGUAACCUUAGGUGCAGUUUUAGAUUUAGUAAUGAAAUACAAAAACCCAAGGUAAGGAAACAGAGAAGCAGCAAACAACUGUGAAGCUAUACCCUGAGUUUCAAUGGUGGGUGCCCAUGGAUCUACUGGAAGUAAACCACAACAAAUUCCUCUUCUUCUAUUAACAAUCAAUCUUCUACAAAACUUUAAAUUACUGCAUUUUCUUAAUGGGUUUUUCUGGAUAUUUGUUAAUGAACCAACUCCAAAAAAUGUGGAAGGAAGAAGAGAUGUAGUUGUUCUAGAAAGAAACGGCAUGCACUGGAUCAUUUUCGCUUAUACUACAACUGUUGUUCAGUUCUGUUGCUUCAGCUUAUCUAUCUCUGUGUUUUCGUUAUUUCCAGUGGAUUACAAUGGGCCGGGCUUAUACAUAUUAAGAUUACGAAUUGGGCCGACCCAAUAUAUCAUGGACCGAAGUUUCAGCCCAUGAAUUUCAUGACCUUGUGCUAGGGCUCUGUACUUUCAACAUCUACACAACCCAUAUGUAAAUAUUAAAUCUAAUAAUUUUAUUUUUAAUUAAAUUAAAAAAGAUUUAGAUGUUUUAUUUUCAAUUAAAUUAAAUCAUUUUAGCUUAUACUCAGUUAUGUAUUUCUGUUCCUUGGAUUUCAGUGGGCCGUGCUUGGAGGCUUUAGGCUGAUGGAACCACUAAAAGUCCGAGAUAACAUUGUGGACCGACUCCCCAAAAGUAGGUGCUAAGUGCUAACCCUGGCCCACAUAUAAAGGUUUCAGCCCAUGAAUUUCAUGACUCCAAAAGUUUGGAAUAUUAAAUAUUAAAUAAGUAGUUUAUUAAAUCUUAAAUUAAUUUUGUUUUCAAAUUAAUUAUAAAUAUAAUGAAAAAAAUAAACUUUAUAAUCAUAAAUGGCCACCUUUUUCGAAAAUGAUUGAAGUUGAGACAAAACAGAGUAUGUACUAAACUUUUCAGUUUUCACCCAAGUAUAUAUACCUUUAGCUACUCAUCAAUGUCAUCAUCAUACGUAUAUCUUUGUAAAAUGGUAGUAUAUAGUUAUAUACCAUGUUCUUCUAGAAGAAAAUGAACAUAAAAGCAUAAAGCUAUAGCUCUCACAUCAUGUUCUUGGCCGGUAAGCUUUCAAAAUCAUUGGUAACACUCAAGGACAUUUCAGCUUAUGUGUUAUUAAAUUUCCUCGUGACACAAUGCCCCAAUAUAUCAACUAUCUCUUUGUUGUUAUAUGAAUGAAUUGAAGAUAAGCUGUACGAAAGCAGUGUAAGUGUGUAACGUAGUGCUCCAACAUAAAUUUUUUUCACUCUCCACUAAGUGAUUAAGGAAGAUUCUGCAAUCUUGAAUAUGCUCUUUCUUCUUAUCUUUGUGUGGCAGAAACCCUUUUAGCUAUGCUCAUUGUCAUUGUGAUGUUGAACCAUGAUAAAAGUAACCCUUAUCCUAACUAGAUUCCUAUCAAAUACUUGGUGGAACAUUGUCUACACUCUAAAGCAUACACAUCUCUUUCUAAAAGUUUGAACUUCAAUUUCAAACUUCACAACAUGAAUUGUUCAUUACCAUCACUAAGUACCCUACAUAGAAAUAUCAGUAGAGUUGGUGGUUACGUAAGGCAUAUAUAAUUCAGUAAUUCUUAAAUUUAGUAGUACAAAAUAAAAUACAAUCAUCAAUUCAUCACUCUUCAGUGCAUGAAAAGGUUUGAAAUAAGCUAGCUAUAGUACUUUUACGGAUUAUUAAUUAUGAAUUUUCCACUUGAGUGCCAUCUCAGCAAGUGAUUUGGUAGAUGACCCGUUUUCGCUUAAAUUUGCAGCUGCAGCAUGUUUAAGGUCUUCGGUUUUGCUCCGAGCUUCCUUCCCUUCUUCUCCUUCCAUAAGAACCUUAACAACUUGGGCUAUCUCAUCUCGACGAAUUAGGCCAUUUUCAUCAAAUUGAGGCCGUAGCGCGACUUUCAUAUCAUGAAGCAUCACUGCAUUCAUUUUUUGUUCAGCGUAAAGUGGCCAUGCAAUCAAAGGUACACCAUGUACAAUACUCUCGAGAAUCGAGUUCCAACCACAAUGACUGAGGAACCCACCCGUCGAACCAUGGGUAAGAACUCGAAUCUGUGGAGCCCAUGACGACACCACUAGCCCUAUAUGAUUGGUCCUUUCUAAGAAACCACUGGGUAGGAAAUCAAAAGGGUCCUUGGCACUUUGAGCACUGAAGUAUGAGGCAUUAACAGCAGUGUCACUAGGACUUCUUACAACCCACAAAAACCUGUGCUCACUCAUUUCAAGCCCAAGGGCUAAUUCAGUCAAUUGCUCACUGGAAAGGGUCCCACCACUUCCAAAUGAUACAAAUAGUACGGAGCCACGUGGUUGAUCAUCCAACCAUUCCAAACACUGGGACCCAUCGGACUCACUUGUGGCUGUGCGUAUAAGAGGACCAACCGGGUAAACCGGUGGUCUAUCUGGGCUUUUCUCUUGGAGAGCCAUCAAAGCACCCGGUUCUAUAUCUAGACAGCUAUUUACUAUAAUACCAUUAGGAAGUUUGUACCUCUUGCUUUGGUGCAGUAACAAUGCAUAGGCUUCAUCUUUCCUGUCCUGGACAGGGUCAACUAAAUCAACACCAUGGAGUGGCACACAUCCCGGCAAUUUAAGUGGCUCUGUCAUAUCUCUGUACUCACCUGAGUAUGAGGCAUCGAGCUUUGGAAGUUCUAAAAGGAAUGACAAUGUCAUUGCAUUUGAAGUGAAGAAAAGAUAGGAUGGAAGAUUAAGUUCCUUAGCUACGUCAAGUGCAUCAGUACCAAAAGAAUCUACAAUUAAAGCAACAACAUGCGAGUUAGCCAUUAUGACCUUCAAAGCAUUCUCUAACGAAAGUAGGGACCGAGAAAUGGUGAGGAAGAUGCGCGUUUCAAUCUUAACAUCUUUGGAAAGGUCAUCAAAAUUGACUGGGGGAAGCAAAACAUAAUUUAUUGAUGACUUGGGAAGGGAGUUUAGGACUGCUUCUUGAGCUUUAAUAGGAGAACCAUCAGUAGGAAUCAAAAAGGUCACUACGAAAUCGUGGUAGAAGACAAGACGCUUAGCGAACUCGGUUAGUGGGAUGAGGUGCCCAAUCCCAGGGCUCGGAAGAAGAGCUAUUCGUGGAGUUUGUUUGAUCUCCUCCAUGGUUGCAAACUUGCAAUGCUUUACCGUCGUCUGUUGAGGCUGGAGAAUAUAUAUAUAAGAAGAAAUGAGUUAGUUUGUGUGGUCUACUAGAACUCUCAAUUACUUUGUGCUGUUCCUUCAAUCAUGUUUUUAUAUGAUAAUUGUUACUUGUUUGCAUACAAACUUUUUUUUUUUUUUUUCCGAUACUUCUUAGAAUGCAAACCAUGUUAUUAACUGCAGUUAAUUAAUACUUAAGUGUUGUUUGUUUUUUCAGUUAUACUAGUAGUUCUAAUAACUUAUAAGCUAGUGUUAGAAAAACCAAUAGUAUAUUUGUUUUUACAAAUAGUUAGUUUUAUAAUAUUUAAUUUUCUAAUAAAAAGUAGCUAAAAAAUGAUGGUUACUAUAAUCCCCUACAAAUGUCAAGUGUACGUGUGUAUGGCGAUUGGUAAACUACAGUCUACAUAUAAAAAAUCAACUACACUUUAUUACAGUAAAACCUCGUGCAAUAAAUAAAUGUUUGAUAAAGUAAUAAUCUCGCUUAGAUAAUAAUUUCUUCCGGUUAUGACUUGGGCAUGUGUACUAAAGUAAUAUCAUUAAGUAAUAAAAAAAAAUUAAUUCUUUAAAAAGCCCAAUGAAAAUAUAAAUUAAUAAUUAUUAAAAUCCAUACAAAAAUGUAUGUAUAUAAUCUACAUACUCUUGAACUUUUAUUUAUAAUUUUUUUUUCUGAAAAUAUACAUUAAGUUUUUAAUUAAAUGAUAAUUGCUACUUGUCAAACCAUGUUAUGCCGACAAUUUUUUUUUUUUAUGGGUUAAAACUCCUGGUGACACUGCUGUGAAUGCCUCAUAAAGUCAUAAGUCAUACCAGACAAGAAGUCACAAUACACCAUUUUUUUUUUCUUGAUAGAAUGCAAAUUGAUCAGAAUUCACAUUAGCAUCUGAUUUAUUCUGGUAUUUAAUUGGAAAAAGAUUUUAGAUAUCAAACCAAUCAAAUUAACAUGAUCCCCAUUUCGCAUUCCUCACGUUAAAUUGAGGACAAGAUCGAUAUUAAGAUCAAGUAUGUAUAGGAAGGUUAGUAAGUUACUGAAGGGUGAACUAUUUUGUUAGAUCAAGUGUACUAUGGUGUUUGCCAAACUAGAUAAGAAAAAGCUUCAAUUCUAAACAACCACAUUAACUUAGGGUCUGUUUGAUUCGGGCGGGAAAAGAGUUCACCGGGAAAUAGAUUUACCAUGUGCAAAUAUUCGGGAAAUAAAAUUUUGAUAAAAUAGUUAUAAUGCUACAUUGAUCAUGAAUUUUUUUGGAAAAUCAUUUAAAUAUGUUUGUAGUGAGAGUUCGACAAAAUUGAGCUCCAAUUUGUCCCAACAUUUUAACUUAUCAUGUCGUUUUAAAUAUUUACCGCUUAUUUUCCAUUUAAUCAAACAUGGGAAAUUGAAAUUUCCCGAAAAAUCUAUUUCCCGGACUCGAAUCAAACAGACCCUAAGAUAAUACAAUCAUACAAGUGUGCAGAAUACAAUAAUUUUUUAUUUUUCAAAUAACAUAGUAAACUAUGGUUUUGAUUUCCACUUGAGCGCUACCUCAGCAAGUGAUUUGGUAGACGACCCAUUUUCGCUUAAAACUGUGACUGCAGCAUGUUUAAGGUCUUCCAUUUUGUUCUGAACUUUCUUCCCUUCUUCUCCUUUCAUGAGGACCUUAACAACUUGCGCUAUCUCAUCUCUACGAAUUAGGCCAUUUUCAUCAUACCUAGGCCUUAGCGCAAUUUGCAUAUCAUGAAGCAUCACCGCGUUCAUUUUCUGUUCAGCAUAAAGUGGCCAUGCAAUCAAAGGUACACCAUGUACAAUGCUCUCGAGUGUCGAGUUCCAACCACAAUGACUAAGAAACCCACCGGUCGAACCAUGGCUAAGAACUUGAAUCUGUGGAGCCCAUGACGACACUACUAGACCGAUACCUUUGGUUCUUUCCAAGAAACCAUUAGGUAGGAAAUCAAGAGGGUUAGCACUGUGUGCACUGAAGUAUGAGGCAUUUCCAGCGGUGUCACUAGGAGUUUUUACAACCCAGAGAAAUUUAUGCCCACUCAUUUCAAGCCCAAGGGCUAAUUCAGUAAAUUGCUCAGUAGAAAGGGUACCACCACUUCCAAAUGAUAUGAAAAGAACAGAGCCACGUGGUUGAUCAUCCAACCACUUCAAGCAUUCUGACUCAACCACAUCACCAUGGGUCUCACUUGAGCGUAUAAGCGGACCAACUGGGUAAACCGGUGGUCUAUUUGGGUUUUCUUCUUGUAGAGCCAUAAGAGCACCUUGUUCUACAUCUAAAAAGCUAUUUACCAAAAUACCAUGAGCUAAGUUGUACCUCUUGCUUUGUUCCAACAUCCAUGUAUAGGCUUCAUUCUUCCUGUCCUGGCAAGGAUCAACGAAAUCAAUCCCAUGGAGUGGCACACACCCUGGCAAUUUAAGCGGCUCUGGCAUAUCUUUGUACUCGCCUGAGUACGUAGCAUCGAGGUUCGGCAGUUCAAAAGUGAAUAACAAUCCCAUUGCAGCUGAAGUAAAAAAAAUAUAAUAUGGGAGAUUAAGAUCCUUGGCUACAUCAUAUGCAUCCAUACCAAAAGAAUCCACAACUAAUGCGACAACAUACGAGUUAUCCAUCAAGUCCUUCAAUGCAUCCUUUAGAGAAGAUAACGACCGAGUAAUGGUGAGACAGAUGCGCGUUUCAAUCUUAACAUCCUCAGGAAGAUCAUCAAAAUUAACUGGAGGAAGAUAUAUAUAAUUUAUGGACUUGGGAAGGGAAUUUAGAACUGUUUCUUGAGCUUUAGUAGAAGAACCAUCAGUUGGAAUUAAAAAGGUAACUAAGAAAUCAUGGUGGUAGAUGACAAGCCGCUUAGCAAACUCGAUCAUUGGGAUGAGAUGACCCAUUCCUGGGCUUGGAAGAAGAACUAGAUGUGGAGUUUGUUUGAUCUCUUCCAUGGUUUCAAUCCUUUACUGAUCGAUUACUGUCUUAAGAAAGAAGAUCUGCUUCUGGAGAGUUAUUAUAUAGAGUUGUGGUGCAGUUGUGAGAAUUAGAGCAUUCCUAAGGGUAGGUUUUAGCACACUUUUAGUUAACUUUUAGUGAAAACACUUGCCAAUGGUAGCUUUUAACACAUUUUUCAAGCAAAACACUUUUAACUCCUUGCCAAUUUAACAAGGAGUUAAAAGUGCCACGUAGGAAUCCAUCCGCCACAAUUAGUGCGGUAUGGAUCCAUACCCCACAAUAAGUGCGGUAUGGAUCCAUACCCCACAAUUAGUGCGGUAUGGACUCAUCUAAAAGAAGAUCCAUCCGCCACAAUGAGUGCGGUAUUGAUCCAUCCGCCACAAUGAGUGCGGUAUGGAUCCAUACCCCACAUAGAUUGCGGUUUCAAUAAUCCACCGUUGGAAACACUAAAACCCUUUUUUCGCUAAAACCAUUGAAAACCCCAAAAUUCCUUAAAACCAUCUUAUGUGGCACCACUAAAAGUGUUUUACCAUUGGGAAUGCUCUUAUAUUGCAAUAUCAAUAAUUAGACAAUUUUCCCAUUUUAUUCCGAUUCUAGCCUUAUUAAAUAGUUAAUAUGACAGAUUUUGUCCAAAUUUAUGUUAUACAACUAAAGGGUCAUAUAUGUCAUUACGUAAGAUUCAGCUUGAGAAACCAGCUAUCAAUCUAUCAUUAAUGCUACAGCCUACAACUAAGAUCUGAGAAGGUUCCCAAGCAAUCAUUUCACAACAUUUACUAUCCUAUGCACCCAGGACUUAUCUAACGCAUCAAUCCUAUUAACCUAUUAACUUUAGCUAUACCAUGCCAUGUGAGAAGGUAUUAUUUUUUUUAAUUGUUAGAGCUUUUUUAAGUAUGUAUUUAUUACAAUUUUUCUUAUUCAUGCCUCACUUAAUUUACUCAAAAAUUCUAGAUCUCCUAUGGACUUUUGAUUUAGAUAAUUUAAUUUAAGGGCGAAUUUGUCUAAACCCCAAGAAAGGUGGGCCAAAUUUGCAGAUACCCAAGACUUUUUUUUUUAUUUGUAUUUACCCCAGACCGUCUAGUUUACUGUUAUCAAACCAUCAGCUGACUAGGAUAGAGAUUGAAGUUACAAGUUUACCCUUAUUCUUUAUUCUUUUCUUGGUAUAAACACUGACCUAUGUUCUAACCAAGUAACCAACCAUUGAACCGAUAAAGUGAUCUUGCUAGAACCAGACGAAUUAGUUCAAGUCUUUGGAAGAACCAACACUUGAUUUUGACAUCUACUGUAUCAAAUUACCAAAAACAUAAUGAUCAUUUUAUCCUUCUCACCCGUGAGGAUUGGAUUAUAUCAUUCAAAAGAUUUAUCUAAUUAAAGAAGAUGAAGAUGAAGACAACAAUUAAUCAAUCAAUUGUUUAUUGUCUCGUUGGAAAUUCAGACUUUAUUUUGUCUGUAAUUUCCACCAGGUUUUCCAUUACAGAAGAAUUUUUUUUGUUAAAGAAGAAUAUGAAUCAUGGAUUCAUGGGAUACCCAAGUUUGGGGUUUUCAGAAAGGCGUUGGUGUAUACUUGUAUAUUGUUAUGUAUUAAGAUUGGGAUUUAAAACAACGAGAAAUCGAUAGACAAAUUUGAAAAAUCUCACAAACAUUCAGACAAUCAUUGAGAUCGCAAUCAAUUGGAAUUCAUAUUCUUUCAUUUUGAUCCCCAAUAUUGAGUAGAAAGUAUGGUUCUUUUUCAGAACCAAUUGCUGAAAAUAUUUGGAUUGGAGAUUCAAAUUUAUCAAAAAUGGGCAUGGCUGAGUUUUGAGCAUUACCAAUUUCUCAUGCUCCAAGUGAAAUUGACAAUCUACUGAACCUAAAUUAAUGAGUUUUGAAACACUAGAUGAACCAAAUCCAUCACCCAUUCAUCCCCCUCCCAUUGCGGCAUUGCUGAUAAAUGAGGAAUGGAGAAGAAUCAUCUCAGCAGAAGUGUAGAUCUAUAUUGAACAACUAAAGAAAAAAAAAAUCAACAUGAGGAUAGAAUUGGUAUAUUUGAUGGACAUUUUGGUAAAAGAACAUAUCAUCCUAGUCAGCAGACGGGCUAUAACGGAAUUGCUAACAGACUGGGGUAAACACAAAUAAAAAAAAAAGUCUGGGGUAUGUGCAAAUUCAGGCAACCUUUCUUGGGGUUUAGACAAAUUCGCCCUUAAUUUAAUUAUCUCAAUUAUUUAAUAUUAAUAUAUAUAAAUAUAAUUAAAAUAAAAUAUUUAUCUUAAAUAAAUCCCAAAAUUAUUAAAUUCCUUUUAUAAGGUCUGCAAGUUUGGUUUGCAAUAAUUGUGUUGUACAUUCGCGCGCAAAUAGUCAAUAAGUUCAUCUUCCCCGUCCAGAUAAGCUACAUUAUCAGUAUAUUGAGUAAUAAGUAUUAACUCUUGAUUCAAUUGACAACCACACCAGCGUUAUUUUAGUCACAAAGUUUUUUGUUGGUAGUUUUUUUUUUUUUUUUUUAUAUGAAGAAGUUUCUUGUUGGUAGUUAGCAAAAUGCUUCCACUAGUUACCAUCAUAUGUUCAUUUUCUUUCGCAGAUGUCACACUGAGUAGUACUGUAUAUCUUUUUAAUUGAAUAAUAGCAAUCCAAUAAAUAGAACAAGCCUUUUUAAUAAUAUAUACUCCAUAUGUUUUUAUUCAUGAUUUCAAGGUGGAUUCUUUUGUGAAAUCAAGUGUGGUUUUGAGUUUUGAGUUUUGAGUUUUGACAAACUAUAUAAGAAGAAGUCAUACACUCACACAACACUUUACUCUCCAUCAUCACCUACUACACAACUUUUAGCUUCAUUAUCAAUUUAUCAUACAACUUUAAAGAGAUCAAAAGGUGUUUUUAUAUUAUAAUGCAACAAUGUACAAAAUAAUCAAAUACUCCACUUAACAACAUUAACUAAGAUAUACUGUAACAAAAUCAAAACCCAAUCAUACAAGUGUUGAAUACAAUGCUAAAGUGGUAUACAUACAUACUUUUCAUCAAAUCACAUAUUGACAAUUAU